AUGGAGGUACACUGCGGCCGCGUUCUCCUCGGCGAUGACUCUUGCGGCCCCCUUUCGCUCGUCGUUUGGGACCCCAUGACGGGCUGCCGGAGGGAGCUGGACCCACCUGACCACUUGGGCAGAAGCUAUGGGGCAGCGGUGCUCUGCCCCGUUGCCGGCUGUGACCACCGUGCGUGCCACGCAGGCCCCUUCCAGGUGGUCUUCAUCGGUGUGGACAUGAUGGAAGAUGGAUGUCUUGUGCGCGCUUGUGUGUCCUUGCCGGUGGCGGGAGGUUGGAGCAAGCCCUGCUCUGAUUUUUGUUUUAAUAAGUGGAGCGAGCCGUGCUCUGCUCUUCAUCUUGGGUCUACAUUUUGGGACGGAAUGUCUCCUGUCUCCGUCGAAGAUGCACUGUACUUCAAGCUCGACUAUUUCGGAGAUGAUCACAUGGCAAUUCUCAAGUAUGACUUGGGAUCUAACUGCUUAUCACUGAUUGAUGCACCGUUUGCCGGGUCUAUCCUUGUCAAUGCCGCUAUCCUCAUGGCGAUGGAUGAUAACAGUUUGGGGUUUGCACAUGUGGACAAGGUAACCCUCCACUUGUGGUCAAGACAGGGAGGUUCCGAUGGAAUUGGGUCAUGGACUCAGCGUACAGUCAUCGAUCUUAAUAACCAUCUCCCCAUUCAAAAUCCCAAUAAAAGAUUUAGAUUGAUUGGAUCUCUGGAGGGCACAGAUAUCAUUUUUGUGACCAUGGGCCUUGACAUCUAUGAGAUUAAUCUCAAGACAUUACGGUGGAAGAAGCUACAGAAGAGAGAAAAGCUUUGUGGUCUGAUUCCGUACAUGAGUUUCUACAAUCCACAAGGUAUAUUUGUAUUUGCUGAGAACAGGAUGAUCAUAGGACCAGCAUCAUGA
rnacentral:rRNA from 1 species